rnacentral:rRNA from 1 species
UCGAGCGAAGCGCAUAAGUUUGAUUCUUCGGAUGAAGAUUUUUGUGACUGACCGGCGGACGGGUGAGUAACGCGUGGGUAACCUGCCUUACACAGGGGGAUAACAGUUAGAAAUGACUGCUAAUACCGCAUAAGACCCCGGUACCGCAUGGUACAGAGGUAAAAACUGAGGUGGUGUAAGAUGGACCCGCGUCUGAUUAGGUAGUUGGUGAGGUAACGGCUCACCAAGCCGACGAUCAGUAGCCGGCCUGAGAGGGUGGACGGCCACAUUGGGACUGAGACACGGCCCAGACUCCUACGGGAGGCAGCAGUGGGGAAUAUUGCACAAUGGGGGAAACCCUGAUGCAGCGACGCCGCGUGAGCGAUGAAGUAUUUCGGUAUGUAAAGCUCUAUCAGCAGGGAAGAAAAUGACGGUACCUGACUAAGAAGCCCCGGCUAACUACGUGCCAGCAGCCGCGGUAAUACGUAGGGGGCAAGCGUUAUCCGGAUUUACUGGGUGUAAAGGGAGCGUAGACGGUGAUGCAAGUCAGAAGUGAAAGCCCGGGGCUCAACUCCGGGACUGCUUUUGAAACUGUG